GGGUCAAUGAUGAGCAUUUUAUAUUGCCUGGAGAAGUGGUGAUAACUUAAAUUUCAUGCAUGACGCAGAGGCCC
rnacentral:snoRNA from 1 species